rnacentral:hammerhead_ribozyme from 1 species
AUCCAGCUGGCGAGUCCUGAAUAGGGCGAAAUGCACGUCCUGGAU